rnacentral:rRNA from 1 species
AUUGAACGCUGGCGGCAGGCCUAACACAUGCAAGUCGAGCGGAUGAAGGGAGCUUGCUCCUGGAUUCAGCGGCGGAUGGGUGAGUAAUGCCUAGGAAUCUGCCUGGUAGUGGGGGAUAACGUCCGGAAACGGGCGCUAAUACCGCAUACGUCCUGAGGGAGAAAGUGGGGGAUCUUCGGACCUCACGCUAUCAGAUGAGCCUAGGUCGGAUUAGCUAGUUGGUGGGGUAAAGGCCUACCAAGGCGACGAUCCGUAACUGGUCUGAGAGGAUGAUCAGUCACACUGGAACUGAGACACGGUCCAGACUCCUACGGGAGGCAGCAGUGGGGAAUAUUGGACAAAGGGCGAAAGCCUGAUCCAGCCAUGCCGCGUGUGUGAAGAAGGUCUUCGGAUUGUAAAGCACUUUAAGUUGGGAGGAAGGGCAGUAAGUUAAUUCCUUGCUGUUUUGACGUUACCAACAGAAUAAGCACCGGCUAACUUCGUG